GAUGAACGCUGGCGGCGUGCCUAAUACAUGCAAGUCGAGCGAACAGACGAGGAGCUUGCUCCUCUGACGUUAGCGGCGGACGGGUGAGUAACACGUGGAUAACCUACCUAUAAGACUGGGAUAACUUCGGGAAACCGGAGCUAAUACCGGAUAAUAUAUUGAACCGCAUGGUUCAAUAGUGAAAGACGGUUUUGCUGUCAAUUAUAGAUGGAUCCGCGCCGCAUUAGCUAGUUGGUAAGGUAACGGCUUACCAAGGCAACGAUGCGUAGCCGACCUGAGAGGGUGAUCGGCCACACUGGAACUGAGACACGGUCGAGACUCCUACGGGAGGCAGCAGUAGGGAAUCUUCCGCAAUGGGCGAAAGCCUGGCGGAGCAACGCCGCGUGAGUGAUGAAGGUCUUCGGAUCGUAAAACUCUGUUAUUAGGGAAGAACAAAUGUGUAAGUAACUAGGCACGUCUUGACGGUACCUAAUCAGAGAGCCACGGCUAACUACGUG
rnacentral:rRNA from 1 species